rnacentral:tRNA from 1 species
UGAGGUAUAACUCAGCUGGCAGAGUACCGUGCUGUUAACACGGGAGUCUUGGGUUCGAAUCCCAAUGCCUCAGCAA